GUCAGUUUCCUCUUGGGGAGGUGGUUCCAAGGCCUUCUGACCUUUCUUUUCAGGUGGCUCUGCAGGACCUUCAGACAAACUCCAAGAUCGCCGCGCUCCUGCCUUACUUUGUUUAUGUGGUCAGUGGGGUGAAGUCUGUAAGCCAUGACCUAGAGCAGCUGCACAGGCUGCUGCAGGUGGCACGUAGCCUGGUUCGGAACCCACACCUCUGCCUGGGGCCCUACGUCCGCUCCCUAGUGGGCAGUGUCCUCUACUGUGUCCUCGAGCCAUUAGCUGCCUCCAUCAAUCCCCUGAAUGACCACUGGACUCUGAGGGAUGGAGCUGCCCUCCUACUCAGCCAUAUCUUCUGGACUCAUGGGGACUUGGUGAGUGGCCUCUAUCAGCAGAUCCUGCUUUCCCUGCAGAAGGUCCUGGCAGACCCUGUGCGGCCUCUCUGCUCUCACUAUGGUGCUGUGGUCGGGUUGCAUGCUCUUGGCUGGAAGGUAAGCACCUUAACUUUAUUUCUGUGUUGGU